rnacentral:misc_RNA from 1 species
UUGAUAAGCGUGAGGUCGGAGGUUCAAGUCCUCCCAGGCCCACCAAUUUACCUAUCCCUUUGCCUUUAUCCGUUUAUUUGCCGAUUUAUCAGUCCCUUUAGGUCCAUUUAAUCGGUCCAUUUAUAAGUGUUGGUAAUAGUUUUUAUCAUGAUGGAAAGUCAUGGUUAUAAAAGACCUGCUUAUAAAACUUAUAAAAGGCUUGUUUCUAGAUUGUGACGCUUAUCCAUUUCGCUUAGGCAAGAGAAACUUCAAGCGGUUUGAAGGCAAAAUGCUUUGAAUUUUGCAAAAUAAUUUGAAUUUUGCAAAAUAAUUCAAAUUUUAAAGUGAUCCGAUUGAAUCUUAAAGUGGAUUGAAUUUUAAAGUGAUCCAAGUUCGUGAUCUCGAAUUUAAAAGUUUCGAAUGCUUUAUCCUUUUUUAGGGGCCGUAGCUCAGCUGGGAGAGCACCUGAUUUG